rnacentral:rRNA from 1 species
AAGUUGACCUCAAAUCAGGUAGGAUUACCCGCUGAACUUAAGCAUAUCAAUAAGCGGAGGAA